rnacentral:rRNA from 1 species
AGUAAGGGCGACUGAAACGGGAGGAGCCCAGCGCAUAACCUCGCGGUCCCCAGCCGCGAGGGGUGUUGCGUUUCGGUGGAUCCGUCCCGCCCGAGCCGUUCGCGCCUAAGUCACUGCUUGAAAGCAGCCCCCGGGAGGGUGAUAGGCCCGUGUGGCGGCGCCCGCCAGAGGGUCAGGGCGGUUCGGGCGGAGGGAUCUCCACCGCAGAGUCGGGUUGCUUAGUACUGCAGCCCUAAGCAGGUGGUAAACUCCAUCUAAGGCUAAAUACAAACCACGAGACCGAUAGAGAACAAGUACCGUGAGGGAAAGUUGAAAAGGACUUUGAAGAGAGAGUUCAAGAGGACGUGAAACCGUUAGAAGCCAAACGGGUGGAACCGCGAAGGUCGAACGAGGGGAUUCAGCCCGCCGGCCGGCAGCGCGCGGACGACGGGCCGCUCGACACGAGCGCGAGGACCGGGCGCGAGGCGUCCCGGCUCCGUCACCGCCGCCCCCUUGCCGGCGGGCUUAAUUCUCCCUCCAGUAGGUCGCCGCGACCCGUGGCGGGGACCCCGAGGCCGUCCCGGACCGGGAGGCUCCCUCGCGGAGCCGACGCCGGGCGCGGUUCUGGCGGGCCCCUGCGACGGUCACUGCGGGGAGAGCUGGGCCGCAAGGCCUUGCGUCUCCCUCGCGGCGUGCAAGGGAUCGGUGAUCCACCCGACCCGUCUUGAAACACGGACCAAGGAGUCCAACAUGUGCGCGAGUCUAAGGGCGGUCUAAACCCGGAGGCGAAAUGAAAGUGAGCAACUGCCGUUGCAGGCCGAUCCCCGGCCGUCGCGGCGCUCAGGCCGCGGUCCGCGGCUCGCGCGACACCCAAGCGCGGGCGCGCGGUAACGUCCCGGCCGGGUGCUCCGCGGCGGCCCUCGUCGUCUCAACGCGACGAGCCGGAGGGCGCAGGCCGAGGACUUGCCGCUCGGCGGCCCGGGGCGACGGGGGCCUCGCGCUCCCGUUCCCCGGCGUCCGCCGGCAAGUACCUGAGAGCGCACCCGUUGGGACCCGAAAGAUGGUGAACUAUGCCUGGCCAGGACGAAGCCAGGGGAAACCCUGGUGGAGGUCCGAAGCAGUUCUGACGUGCAAAUCGAUUGGCAGAGCUGGGUAUAGGGGCGAAAGACUAAUCGAACCAUCUAGUAGCUGGUUCCCUCCGAAGUUUCCCUCAGGAUAGCUGGCAUUCGGAGCGUACAGAGAUGAGUUUCAUCCGGUAAAGCCAAUGAUUAGAGGCCUUGGGGGUGCAAUGCCCUCAACCUAUUCUCAAACUUUAAAUGGGUGAGAUGUGGAGCUUGCUUGAUUUACGAAGCUCUAUGGUUGAAUCAGAAUGUCUAGUGGGCCACUUUUGGUAAGCAGAACUGGCGAUGUGGGAUGAACCAAACGCGCGAGUUAAGGGGCCUAAAGGAAUGCUAAUGUUGACACUACGAAAAGGUGUUGGUUGCUAUAGACAGCAGGGCGGUGGCCAUGGAAGUCGGAAUCCGCUAAGGAGUGUGUAACAACUCACCUGCCGAAGCAACUAGCCCUUAAAAUGGUAUGGCGCUCAAGCAUUCUCCCGAUACUCGGCCGCCGGGGCACUACGGGCUCCGAGAGGGGUCUCGAAGCCCCGGCGAGUAGGAGGGUCGCAGCGGUGAGCGCAGAAGGGACCCGGCGCAGGCCGGCCUGGAGCCGCCGCUGGCGCAGAUCUUGGUGGUAGUAGCAAAUAAUCAAGAGAGAACCUCGUUGACUGAUGUGGGGAAGGGUUCCAUGUCAACAUCAGUUGGACAUGGGUGAGUCAGACCUAAGCCCAAGGAUAAACUUCCUGCGUUCCAGGACUCCCCAGGCGAAUCGACUCGUGGAAGGUCGGUGCGGUGGUGUUGUUGUGCUCGAGGGAGUGGGGGCAGC